CAUGUCUAUAUGGUUGUUAUAUAAAGUCUAGCCUGCCCACUGAUUUAGUUUAAAGGGCCGCGGUAUAUUGACCGUGCGAAGGUAGCAUAAUCAUUAGUCUUUUAAUUGAAGGCUUGUAUGAAUGGUUGGACAAAAAGUAAGCUGUCUCAAUUGUAAUAAUUGAAUUUAACUUUUAAGUGAAAAGGCUUAAAUAAAUUAAGGGGACGAUAAGACCCUAUAAAGCUUGACAAUAAUUUAAUUAUACUAUCAAUUGUUAGUAUAACUUGGUUUUAAUUAAUAUUUGUUGCGUUGGGGCGACGAGAAUAUAAUAGGUAACUGUUCUUAAAUAUUUAAUAACAAAUAUAAUUGGAAAUUAGUAUGAUCCUCUAUUAGCGAUUAAAAGAUUAAGUUACUUUAGGGAUAACAGCGUAAUCUUCUUUGAGAGUCCCUAUCGACAAGAAGGUUUGCGACCUCGAUGUUGAAUUAAGGUAUCCUUAUGAUGCAG
rnacentral:rRNA from 1 species